CGGGUGAGUAACACGUGGAUAACCUACCUAUAAGACUGGGAUAACUUCGGGAAACCGGAGCUAAUACUGGAUAAUAUAUUGAACCGCAUGGUUCAAUAGUGAAAGACGGUUUUGCUGUCACUUAUAGAUGGAUCCGCGCCGCAUUAGCUAGUUGGUAAGGUAACGGCUUACCAAGGCAACGAUGCGUAGCCGACCUGAGAGGGUGAUCGGCCACACUGGAACUGAGACACGGUCCAGACUCCUACGGGAGGCAGCAGUG
rnacentral:rRNA from 1 species